rnacentral:tRNA from 1 species
UCUGGUACGACAUGUAAGUGUGUAAGGGGUUUUAAGUCUGAGCGGCAGAUUCGAUGGCAGCAACGUAAUGUACAUUAAGUACAUGAGGCGCCGACAGAUGAAUCUAACGAACUUAGAACGCAAAAGAACUAACACAAUUUGGGGGUGUAGCUCAGCUGGGAGAGCGCCUGCCUUGCACGCAGGAGGUCAUCGGUUCGAUCCCGUUCACCUCCACCAAUAUAUGUGUGAUCUGUGAAGAGUGUGAGUAUAGAUAAGAUAUUUGAACGUAGGAUGAUCGGAAGAUUGGACUGCGUUAGAUGGAUGACAGAGUAAAGACGAAUACAAUAAACAAUCUAGUUUAACAUUAUAGUGUUAAGUUAGGCUGACGAAAGUUAGGCUAAUAAAACACAAACGCGAAACUAAAUUCAAUUUAACAGAAGCUCUUAAGAGUAAUUCUUGGGAGCGUCGAGUCAAACUUGUUUUAGGGAUGUUGAGUUAGAACUAGGCGAGUUCAAGAGAGGCGACGCAAUGUAUGAAUAAUACAUGAGGAGCCAAACGAAGAACUCAACGACGUAAAUAACUCAAGAGACCAAAACAAGGAUAUCAAGCGUCAAAAGGGCAUCUGGUGGAUGCCUAGGCACAAAGAGGCGAUGAAGGACGUGCUAA